AUUCCAGCUCCAAUAGCGUAUAUUAAAAUUGCUGCAGUUAAAAAGCUCGUAGUUGGAUCUUGGGCGCAGGCUGGCGGUCCGCCGCAAGGCGCGCCACUGCCCGCCUGGCCUUCCUCUCGGUCUCCGCCCGGUUCUCUUGACUGAGUGCCGGGCGCGGCCGAAACGUUUACUUUGAAAAAAUUGGAGUGUUCAAAGCAGGCCGUGAGCCUGGACAGCAGAGCAUGGAAUAAUGGAAUAGGACCUCGGUUCUAUUGCGUUGGUUUUCGGAACUCGAGGUAAUGAUUAAGAGGGACUGACGGGGGCAUUCGUAUUGCGGUGUGAGAGGUGAAAUUCUUGGAUCGCCGCAAGACGACCGACUGCGAAAGCAUUUGCCAAGAAUGUUUUCAUCA
rnacentral:rRNA from 1 species